rnacentral:lncRNA from 1 species
AAAAUUCUUAGAGUUGUAUUCUCCUUUUUGGGUAAAAUUUGAGUUGUAUUCUCUAAUGGAUAGACCCUACUCUCUAACUCUGUCCUGUUCUUUCUUUGCCUAAGCCAGAGGGCCAUGGAACAGUUGCCGGGUGCGUGGCGAAGCUCACGAGGGCUACAGUAUCGGGAAUGAUCGGACGCGUCACGAUCCAUCAAAGAAGAAGAGAUGGCUUGUGACAAUAUACUAGCGGUUUAUUUUUAAGUUUGGUAGAAGACCUCUUUCAUCAUUUUCUUUUCCCCUUUUGAUGGUAAGCAUGGUAUAAAAAUCAUGAUUUCAGAAGUCAAGGUUAAUCUCCAAGACUUGGAUGUGAUGAUGGACGUUUUCUGGGCUAAACUCGGUCAGCAAACUCUCCGAGGCAGUCCAAGUUUAUGGGGGAAAAGAACAAGCCGAAGACACCAACUAUGAGGAAACAGGACUAGUUGUGACCCUUCGGUUGUGUCAGCUUUCCAACCCCUAGUCCUUAUGGGACAUCUGAUAAGAGAUAUAUGUUGAACUCCGGGAAAUAGCUGCCUUAUGUGUGAGAUGUCCAAAACGUUGAUUGUUGAGGCGGUUUUUAAAAAAAUCAGGCUGAUGGUGUUUAUCAUAAAUUUGUUUUCCUUUCUGCAAUUGAAUGUCAUUUAUUAGAUGUCAAAGAGGGAUGAUGUUGUUGAAAAUAUUUUGUACAAGAUAGGCAAAAAUUUCAAUUAAUAUUUUUUUCCCCUCUAGUUGUAUAUUUAUGAUGUUUUAGCUCCUCUUUAAUUUGAUUGGAAAAUGAAGGAACAAAUUUCUUCAAUGUGCCCAAUUUGUAUCUUUAAAAUAAAAGAG